GGGGGGUGGAGGCGGAAGUGGCGGCGCCGGGCCCCGGGAGUAGGAAGGAGCCCGGGCUGCAGCCGGAGUGGAGCGGCUGCCAGCCGAGGAGCAGGCGCGGCCGCGGCGCCAUAUUGUGGCCCCCAGCGGCCGCGACCGAGUCAUGGCCGAGACCUACGACUUCCUCUUCAAAUUCCUGGUGAUUGGCAGUGCAGGAACUGGCAAAUCAUGUCUCCUUCAUCAGUUCAUUGAGAAUAAGUUCAAACAGGACUCCAACCACACGAUCGGCGUGGAGUUUGGAUCCCGGGUGGUCAACGUGGGUGGGAAGACUGUGAAGCUGCAGAUUUGGGACACAGCUGGCCAGGAGCGAUUUCGGUCGGUGACGCGGAGUUACUACCGAGGGGCGGCUGGAGCCCUGCUGGUGUACGACAUCACCAGCCGGGAGACUUACAACUCGCUGGCUGCCUGGCUGACGGACGCCCGCACGCUGGCCAGCCCCAACAUCGUGGUCAUCCUCUGUGGCAACAAGAAGGACCUGGACCCGGAGCGUGAGGUCACCUUCCUGGAGGCCUCCCGCUUUGCCCAGGAGAACGAGCUGAUGUUCCUGGAAACCAGCGCUCUCACCGGUGAGAACGUGGAGGAGGCUUUCCUGAAGUGUGCUCGCACCAUCCUGAACAAGAUCGACUCAGGCGAGCUCGACCCCGAGAGGAUGGGCUCAGGCAUUCAGUACGGGGACGCCUCCCUUCGCCAGCUGCGGCAGCCUCGGAGCGCCCAGGCCGUGGCCCCUCAGCCCUGUGGCUGCUGAGACCUGCGGAGCCAGAGGAGAGACUGUGGGGGGCAGGAGACCAGCGAAGAGGCUACUGCAAAGUCAAGAUGAGAGACGAUGGUGGACAGGACCAGGCCGGGGGCAGAGGAGGGACUGAGAAGUGGAUAGCUCACCUGUUCUCCAGGACCAGCCCUGCCCUUCCGGCUGGGGCCCAGUCCCAGGCCCCAGGAGGCCAAGCCCCUCACCUGUCCUGGCCCCGGAGAAGCUGCCCCGCCACCUGUCCCCCUUCCCUGGCCUGGUGGGGCCUGGCUGAGGGGCAAGACUGAGCCACGGGGGAAGGGGGAAUCCGUACCUGCUGCUGCUUCAUCUGUCUUGGCUAACCCCUGUUCCCCCUGAAACCCCAGCCAUACUCGAAGAGUUCCCAAAGCCUGAGACCAGGGCCAUUUGGCCCCAGCUCCCUGCCUGGUCCUGCCAUUGCGAGUACGUGUUAUUUAUUACCUGGAGGCCUGUCCCGUCCCCACCCCGCCCCCAUAAAGCAUUGUUUACACCUGUG